rnacentral:rRNA from 1 species
UUGGAGGGCAAGUCUGGUGCCAGCAGCCGCGGUAAUUCCAGCUCCAAUAGCGUAUAUUAAAGUUGUUGCAGUUAAAAAGCUCGUAGUUGAAUUUCGGGGUUCAUCCGUUGGUCGGGCUUUUUUGGUCUGUACUGGCGUGAUGGAUUCCUACCUUCUGAAUAACCGGCAUGUCAUUAAUUUGGUGCGCCGGGGAAGCAGAACUGUUACCUUGAAAAAAUUAGAGUGCUUAAAGCAGGCUAUCGCCUGAAUACAUUAGCAUGGAAUAAUGAAAUAGGACGGCAUGGUUCUAUUUUGUUGGUUUCUAGGAUCACCGUAAUGAUUAAUAGGGAUAGUUGGGGGCAUUAGUAUUCAAUUGUCAGAGGUGAAAUUCUUGGAUUUAUUGAAGACUAACUUCUGCGAAAGCAUUUGCCAAGGAUGUUUUCAUUAAUCAAGAACGAAAGUUAGGGGAUCGAAGACGAUCAGAUACCGUCGUAGUCUUAACCAUAAACUAUGCCGACUAGGGAUCGGACGAUGUUAAUUUUUUAAUGACUCGUUCGGCGCCUUACGGGAAAC